rnacentral:rRNA from 1 species
UACGAAGGGGGCUAGCGUUGCUCGGAAUCACUGGGCGUAAAGGGUGCGUAGGCGGGUCUUUAAGUCAGGGGUGAAAUCCCGGGGCUCAACCCCGGAACUGCCUUUGAUACUGGGUAUCUCGAGUCCGAGAGAGGUGAGUGGAAUUCCGAGUGUAGAGGUGAAAUUCGUAGAUAUUCGGAGGAACACCAGUGGCGAAGGCGGCUCACUGGCUCGGUACUGACGCUGAGGUGCGAAAGCGUGGGGAGCAAACAGG